GAGGAAUAUUGGUCAAUGGAUGGAAAUCUGAACCAGCCAAGUAGCGUGCAGGAUGACGGCCCUAUGGGUUGUAAACUGCUUUUAUGUGAGAAUAAAGUUAGGUAUGUAUACUUAUUUGCAUGUAUCACAUGAAUAAGGACCGGCUAAUUCCGUGCCAGCAGCCGCGGUAAUACGGAAGGUCCAGGCGUUAUCCGGAUUUAUUGGGUUUAAAGGGUGCGUAGGCCGUUUGAUAAGCGUGCUGUGAAAUAUAGUGGCUCAACCUCUAUCGUGCAGCGCGAACUGUUGAACUUGAGUGCGUAGUAGGUAGGCGGAAUUCGUGGUGUAGCGGUGAAAUGCUUAGAUAUCACGAAGAACUCCGAUUGCGAAGGCAGCUUACCGUAACGUUACUGACGCUUAAGCACGAAGGUGCGGGUAUCGAACAGGAUUAGAUACCCUGGUAGUCCGCACAGUAAACGAUGGAUGCUCGCUGUUGGCCUUUUGUGGUCAGUGGCUUAGCGAAAGCGUUAAGCAUCCCACCUGGGGAGUACGCCGGCAACGGUG
rnacentral:rRNA from 1 species